rnacentral:rRNA from 1 species
GGGGGAACCAAUUUAAUUUAAAUAAAAAAACAGAAAGGAAAAAUAAAAAAAAAUUCAAGAAAAAAUUUUGGGUCUAAUAACGGAUGAAAUCGGGUACACUAAAUUAAAAAAAUGUUGAAAAUUUCAAUCUUUUCAAUCUAUUAGGUAGAAAAGAGGAUUAGAUACCCUCGUAUUUAAUAUAAAAAAGUUAGUAGUAGUAGAGUGGCAUAAACUCGAAACUAAAAAAAAAUGGCGGUGUUUCUUAGACCGUUCGGAGGAACUUGUCUCUUAAUCGAUAAUCCCCGAAGAGAAUUACUAUGGAAUUUAAAAAUUUGUAUACCGUUGUUGUCAGAAAAUUUUAGAAAAAAAUUGUAAACUUUCUUGAUCCUAAUCAAAGAGGAAUAAUUCAAAUCAAGGUGCAGUUUACGCCAUAGAGAAGAUGAGUUACAAUACCCUAAAAAAGUUAAACGAAUUUUAAUUUGAAAUAAAUUUUAGGAAGGUGGAUUCGAAAGUAAUUUUUAUACCUUAGAGUAAAAAAAUGAGUGAGGCUCUGAAACAUGUACACAUCGCCCGUCGCUCUCAAUCAAUAUCUGAG